rnacentral:rRNA from 1 species
AUUGAACGCUGGCGGCAGGCCUAACACAUGCAAGUCGAACGAGUGGCGGACGGGUGAGUAAUGUCUGGGAAACUGCCUGAUGGAGGGGGAUAACUACUGGAAACGGUAGCUAAUACCGCAUACCAUCGGAUGUGCCCAGAUGGGAUUAGCUAGUGGGUGGGGUAACGGCUCACCUAGGCGCCGCUCCCUAGCUGGUCUGAGAGGAUGACCAGCCACACUGGAACGGAGAAACGGUCCAGACUCCUAAGGGAGGCAGCAGUGGGGAAUAUUGCAAAAUGGGCGCAAGCCUGAUGCAGCCAUGCUGCGUGUAUGAAGAAGGCCUUCGGGUUGUAAAGUACUUUCAGCGGGGAGGCGUUAACCGCAGAAGAAGCACCGGCUAACUCCGUGCCAGCAGCCGCGGUAAUAC